rnacentral:rRNA from 1 species
UACGAAGGGGGCUAGCGUUGCUCGGAAUCACUAGGCGUAAAGCGCACGUAGGCGGACUCUUAAGUCAGGGGUGAAAUCCUGGAGCUCAACUCCAGAACUGCCUUUGAUACUGGGAGUCUUGAGUUCGGGAGAGGUGAGUGGAACUGCGAGUGUAGAGGUGAAAUUCGUAGAUAUUCGCAAGAACACCAGUGGCGAAGGCGGCUCACUGGCCCGAUACUGACGCUGAGGUGCGAAAGCGUGGGGAGCAAACAGG